ACACUGAGCUCUCAUCUCACGCCUGUCAGAAUGGCCGUCAUCAAAUAGAACCCAAAUAACAGAUGUUGACGAGGGUGUGGAGAAAAGGGAGCCCUCGUACACUCUUGGUGGUGG